UCAGGAUGAACGCUAGCGGCAGGCUUAACACAUGCAAGUCGAGGGGCAUCGGGAGUAGCAAUACUGCCGGCGACCGGCGCAAGGGUGCGUAACGCGUGAGCAACAUGCCCGUAUCAGGGGGGAUAAUCCAUGGAAACGUGGUCUAAUACCCCAUAGUAAUUAUGUAAGGCAUCUUAUAUAAUUUAAAGCUUUGGUGGAUACGGAUUGGCUCGCGUGACAUUAGCUAGAUGGUAAGGUAACGGCUUACCAUGGCUACGAUGUCUAGGGGUUCUGAGAGGAAGGUCCCCCCACACUGGAACUGAGACACGGUCCAGACUCCUACGGGAGGCAGCAGUGAGGAAUAUUGGACAAUGGGAUGGAAAUCUGAUCCAGCCAUGCCGCGUGCAAGGGAAGACGGCCCUAUGGGUUGUAAACUGCUUUUGUAUGGGAGCAAUAAGGGCUACGCGUAGUCCGAUGAGAGUACCAUACGAAUAAGCACCGGCUAACUCCGUGCCAGCAGCCGC
rnacentral:rRNA from 1 species